ACAAAGCGUCAGUCAUGAAAAAAAAAUCAGACCUCGCUCUCUCUCCCUUGCCGAUUAACCUACCUUCGAAUCGCUGUCCAUCACGCCGCCGCUGUCCUCCGAUCUAAGGCUUUACACCGUCCAAUCCGGCGCUGCAGCUUUUCCCACCCAUCUCGCCAUCUCCACUGGGAAUCAGGCCGGUAUAAUCGGUCCUACCCUCUGCCGCCGACACCACAGCCACCGCGGCCAUCCCCGGUCUCAGCCGCCCAAAACGCUCCUGAAGGUAGCUGACAUUAAAAGGAUGAAUGGCUUGGCAACAGAUCUUCAAAUGUUUGCUUUGAAGACAUUACAAAUACCAUUACCAGGAAGACAUCCACCAUCUCCCAGUUUGUCUAAUGGGUCUGCUUCUCAAGGUUGAACGUGUAAAGCUUAAAAGCGGAGCAUGGAGCCAAUGACCUUUCUACCAGGUGACACUUCCCUCUCUAGUGGAGGGCCAUGUCCAAGGGUCAGAUUCCCUUGACAACUUUACCUAGGCCAAAAAAAAUGGUGGAGCAUGUAUUGUAAAGUUCACAUGGCUCAUCCCACAUACUGGAAGCCAAUUGGAGCAAGGUAAUUUAACAAAGGUUAUGCCUUCUAUGCUGGCACUCUCAAAUCCUCCUCCUUCUUCACUGCAUGGGACCAUGAUGGCCAUAGCUCUCACACUUUAUCAACAGUUGGUGGUAACUUUGUUCCUGGAGCUAGUUUUUUAGGAUGGUACUAGCAGAGAUGGAGAGGACAACUCAAACAAUAACAUAGAGGUUGAAAACAACUUGGAGGGUGACUCGGAGGAAGACUAAUAUAGAUCUUGUCAUAAUUCUAGUUGUUUAAGUUUAAAUUAAUUUUAGGAUUUCUUUAUAUAUUUAUAAUUUUAAAGUUUGAACUUAUAUGAAUUUUUAUU